rnacentral:rRNA from 1 species
GCACAAGCGGUGGAGCAUGUGGUUUAAUUCGACGCAACGCGAAGAACCUUACCUGGGCUCGAAAUGUAGUGGACCGGAGUAGAAAUAUUCCUUCCUAGCAAUAGGCCGCUAUAUAGGUGCUGCAUGGCUGUCGUCAGCUCGUGUCGUGAGAUGUUGGGUUAAGUCCCGCAACGAGCGCAACCCUUAUUACCAGUUGCUACCAUUUAGUUGAGCACUCUGGUGAGACCGCCUCGGAUAACGGGGAGGAAGGCGGGGAUGACGUCAAGUCCUCAUGGCCUUUAUGUCCAGGGCUACACACGUGCUACAAUGGCCGGUACAAACCGUCGCAAACCCGUGAGGGGGAGCUAAUCGGAAAAAGCCGGCCUCAGUUCGGAUUGGAGUCUGCAACUCGACUCCAUGAAGCUGGAAUCGCUAGUAAUCGCAGAUCAGAACGCUGCGGUGAAUACGUUCCCGGGC